CAUAGUUUGUUUCUGUUUUACUUGUUUUAAGUGGUUAUAAGAAGUUUUUAUUUGCUGGCCUUCCAUCAAGAGAAACCAUCCAAAUUUACUGAUGGCAAGCAACUAUUAUCUAUUAAUAUUUUCAUUGCCAACCUGUGUCAUUGCGUUGUAAAUAAGAAUCCCUAAAACUCUGAAACCUCUCAGUUCCUUGAUAGAUGCACACACACAGUACCGAGGAGAAGGCUCAAUGCUAAGAUUGUGCAAGUCUUCUGGAGGUUUCCUAUGCUUUCAUGUAAAGAACAGAGCUUGGAGGGGAGAAGCUAAAGAUUUCUUUUUGUUGGCUUCAUGCCUGUCACCCACACAAACACCAACACGCUGGGAGAUUGCUCCCUGAUUCAGCAGAUUCAAGUAAAAGCCUGAGAUGUGGAGAAAGCUACCACAUAAUCCUUGAACACAUAGUUAACUUCUAUUUUAUUAGAAAUGAUUUUCUGCUGUUCUACUAUUUAUCAUUUACAGAAUAAAAAAACACAAACAAAAAAAUAACA